GUACUGAUGAAGAGUCCCAAACCAGGACUAAACAGCUAUCCAGUAC
rnacentral:hammerhead_ribozyme from 1 species